UGGGGAAUAUUGGACAAUGGGCGAAAGCCUGAUCCAGCCAAGCCGCGUGUGUGAAGAAGGUCUUCGGAUUGUAAAGCACUUUAAGUUGGGAGGAAGGGCAGUAAGCGAAUACCUUGCUGUUUUGACGUUACCGACAGAAUAAGCACCGGCUAACUCUGUGCCAGCAGCCGCGGUAAUACAGAGGGUGCAAGCGUUAAUCGGAAUUACUGGGCGUAAAGCGCGCGUAGGUGGUUCGUUAAGUUGAAUGUGAAAGCCCCGGGCUCAACCUGGGAACUGCAUCCAAAACUGGCGAGCUAGAGUAGGGCAGAGGGUGGUGGAAUUUCCUGUGUAGCGGUGAAAUGCGUAGAUAUAGGAAGGAACACCAGUGGCGAAGGCGACCACCUGGGCUCAUACUGACACUGAGGUGCGAAAGCGUGGGGAGCAAACAGG
rnacentral:rRNA from 1 species